UACGUAGGGGGCAAGCGUUGUCCGGAUUUAUUGGGCGUAAAGAGCGUGUAGGCGGCCAGGUAGGUCAGCUGUGAAAACUCGAGGCUCAACCUCGAGACGUCGGUUGAAACCACCUGGCUAGAGUCCGGAAGAGGAGAGUGGAAUUCCUGGUGUAGCGGUGAAAUGCGCAGAUAUCGGGAGGAACACCUAUGGCGAAGGCAGCUCGCUGGGACGUUACUGACGCUGAGACGCGAAAGCGUGGGGAGCAAACAGG
rnacentral:rRNA from 1 species